UCUAACCACUAAGCCACGACCCCCCCAAUUUUUUUUUAUAAGUAUGGUAACCCAUACUCGGAAUUGGUGCAUUUAACCCAUCCAAGUGUAUACACAAAGCAGUUAGAAGUGAACACACACCCAGAGCAGUGGGCAGCCAUAGAUCCAGCGCCUGGGGAACAACUGCGGGUUCAGUGUCUUGCCCUUCAGUCAUGGGUUUUGAGGGUGGAAGAGAGCACUGAUCAUUCACUCGCUCCCACCUACAACUUAAAAUGAGAGAUGUGAGAUGUGAAGACAGUUGUGUGUGCAUCUUCAUCUGAAAUGGUGGUUAUGGUGGUGAUUGAGAAGUCCUGAAUUUUAACCGUUAGAGCAAAAAUAACAAUUUUGAUCGCCUUUAAUGUGUGUUUUAAGUUCCAUUUGUGUCAAUAUCAAAGACAGCACAUGAAACUAUUUAACAAAUUUAACCACUUUACUGAGUACUCCCCAUUAUUCACAUUUUAAAUGUAACAACAUUUUCUGUCAAUCCCUAUGAGCAUAAUUGAGUUUCAGGAAAUGCUAGCCAAAUAUUAAUCUGAUUGCAUGAUGAUAGGAUGAAAAUGCAGAGCUAAUGGUGGAUGGAUCUGGUUAAGUGUUAGUGGCUCCUCCCUCUCUGCGUUGUCUCUUCAUCUGUUACUUUCUACCAUAAUAAACCAGCAGAAGCAGCUCAUUGUCAGCUCAAUAGAAGUGUCACUUUCACAAAAACUGAUAGGACAAAUAAUCACCACAGGAGCAUCCAGUGUCCAUCCAAGACACAAGAAAUGGUUUAUACUGGAACAUCAACCAAUAGGACAUUCCAGCUGGAAAUAAGCCAAUUUCCAUGGCAAAUUGAUUAAUUGAAUUUGACAUUUCUAGAAAAAAUACUUUGUGGAUCCACAUUUGAAACUGUGGUUAUAUGGAUUAUUUUCUCCGUUGAGUUUCUUGUCAUGUCCUUGGCAUUCUAUGGAUUGUGCCGUCUGAUCAGCCCUAACCAUCCUGUUCCUGUAUUUAUCGUAAACCUCUUUAUCACUGAUGUCAUUCAGAUUUGUUUCAGACCUAUCUUAAAUUUUUGUACAUUCAGUGUUGUUAUUGCACUCAUCUACUACAUUUAUUCCUUGAGCAUAAUAGUUAAUGUUGGCUUCAUGGUGUGUAUAUCUGUGGAAAGAUACAUAAUGAUCAAAUACCCUGUUUGGUACCGACUUCAUAAUACUUCAAAAAAUUUGGCUCUGAUAUGUUUGUUGGUUUGGGCAAUAUCAUGUGGAAUAAAUGUGAUUGAUGUGAUUAUUGCACUUCACGGGAAUAUUGCACAUGCAUUUUUGGUAAUUGCAUUUGUUCUAUUGGUACCAUAUCCACUGGUUAUGUUUUCCUUUGUGGGAUCAUGGAAGGCACUGUCUCAUUCCGUAGCAAUAACCCCUAAUGAACAGAAGAAGAUUUUGGGGAUUCUGGCCCUUGUACUUUUUAAUUACACUGUGUUGUUUAUGCCAGUCAUUGUCCAAAGCAUUAUUAUGAUGUUUUCCUUUGAACAGGGUCUAAGACUUAGUGGUUAUUUAUUAUCAGUGUCAGGAAUCUUGGUGUAUUUAAAUCCACUCGCUGACUCUUUUCUGUAUGUUUUCUUAAGGAGAGAUGCUAACAGCAUGUUUAAAUGUUUAUGUUGUGAAAAGCUACAUGAAAAUCAGAUAGAAAACUCCUCAAAUUCUUUAUCUAGGAGGGGUGAGUAUAAUAUGUGAAUUGGUGUAAUGAAUGUAAUGUGUAAUGAAUCAGUAUAAUAACAUACAGAGAAACUACUGAGUUAGAAUCUGAGUGAGUGUCACUAAUGAGUGGUUUUGUUCAACUCUAAUAAGAAUUUAAUUUAUUCAUAUAUUUUCUAGGAUUUCAUUCUGAGGGGGGCUUAGCCCUCAAAGAGACCAUUAGGCUACAAAGAUACAUUAUGACCUAAAUAGUACUUUAAAGUGCUUGU